rnacentral:misc_RNA from 1 species
AGCAGCCGCGGUAAUUCCAGCUCCAAUAGCGUAUAUUAAAGUUGUUGCAGUUAAAAAGCUCGUAGUUGAAUUUCGGGAUCAAGUCGUCGGUCGUGCUCAGGUACGUACUGGCGUCAUUGAUUUCUCCCUUCUGACGAACCAUGAUGUCAUUAAUUUGGUGUCAUGGGAAAUCAGGACUGUUACUUUGAAAAAAUUAGAGUGUUUAAAGCAGGCUCACGCUUGAAUACAUUAGCAUGGAAUAAUGAAAUAGGACGUUCGAUCCUAUUUUGUUGGUUUUUAGGAUCAACGUAAUGAUUAAUAGGGAUAGUUGGGGGCAUUAGUAUUCAAUUGUCAGAGGUGAAAUUCUUGGAUUUAUUGAAGACUAACUACUGCGAAAGCAUUUGCCAAGGAUGUUUUCAUUAAUCAAGAACGAAAGUUUAGGGGAUCGAAGACGAUCAGAUACCGUCGUAGUCUUAACCAUAAACUAUGCCGACUAGGGAUCGGAUGAUGUUAAUUUUUUAAUGACUCAUUCGGCGCCUUA